AAUAGUGUGGCUGAUUUAAGCAAUAAAUUGUAAAUUUAUUUAAGAGAAUAAAAUUUCUCCGCUAUUA
rnacentral:tRNA from 1 species